UACGGAGGGUGCGAGCGUUGUCCGGAAUCAUUGGGCGUAAAGGGCGCGUAGGCGGCUGGGGAAGUCCGUGGUGAAAGCUCGUGGCUCAACUGCGAGUCGGCCAUGGAUACUCCUCGGCUCGAGCACUGUAGAGGCAGGUGGAAUUCCGGGUGUAGCGGUGGAAUGCGUAGAGAUCCGGAAGAACACCGGUGGCGAAGGCGGCCUGCUGGGCAGUAGCUGACGCUGAGGCGCGACAGCGUGGGGGAGCAAACAGG
rnacentral:rRNA from 1 species